UACGGAGGGUGCAAGCGUUAUCCGGAUUCACUGGGUUUAAAGGGUGCGUAGGAGGGCAGGUAAGUCAGUGGUGAAAUCUCCAAGCUUAACUUGGAAACUGCCGUUGAUACUAUCUGUCUUGAAUGUUGUAGAGGUGAGCGGAAUAUGUCAUGUAGCGGUGAAAUGCUUAGAUAUGACAUAGAACACCAAUUGCGAAGGCAGCUCACUACACAAUUAUUGACUCUGAGGCACGAAAGCGUGGGGAUCAAACAGG
rnacentral:rRNA from 1 species